rnacentral:rRNA from 1 species
AGUUUGAUUAUGGCUCAGAUUGAACGCUGGCGGCAUGCUUAAUACAUGCAAGUCGAACGGCAGCGGGGGAGAGCUUGCUCUCCUGCCGGCGAGUGGCGGACGGGUGAGUAACGCGUGGGGAUCUGCCUGACAGUGGGGGAAAAACCGGGAGAGAGAUAGAGGCUAAUACCGCAUACGUCCUGAGGGGGAAAGCGGGCUCUUCGGGAGUUUGCGCCUGGUCAGAUGAAGCCCACCGUCCGAUUAGCUUGGGUGGGUAGGGUAAAAGGCCAACAAAGGCGACGAAUCGGUACUUGGCUCGAAAGGGGAUAAUUCGCCCCCCUUGGGACAUGAAACCGGCCCCGACCCCCACCGGGGGGACCAGGGGGGAAAUUGGCACAGUGGGGAACCCGAGCCCACAUUUCCCGGGGGUAAAAACCCCGCGUUUUUAAACCUUCUCGGGGA